UACGUAGGGCGCAAGCGUUAUCCGGAAUUACUGGGCGUAAAGCGCACGUAGGCGGCUUUGUAAGUUAGAGGUGAAAGCCCUGGGCUCAACCCGGGAACUGCUUUUGAAACUGCCGAGCUAGAGUGCGGAAGGGACGAACUGGAAUUCCCAGUGUAGCGGUGAAAUGCGUAGAUAUUGGGAAGAACACCUGAGGCGAAGGCGGGUUGCUGGGCCGACACUGACGCUGAUGCGCGAAAGCCAGGGGAGCGAACGGGG
rnacentral:rRNA from 1 species